rnacentral:rRNA from 1 species
UACGAAGGGGGCUAGCGUUGUUCGGAAUUACUGGGCGUAAAGCGCACGUAGGCGGAUUGUUAAGUGAGGGGUGAAAUCCCAGGGCUCAACCCUGGAACUGCCUCUCAUACUGGCAAUCUCGAGUUCGAGAGAGGUGAGUGGAAUUGCGAGUGUAGAGGUGAAAAUUCGUAGAUAUUCGCAGGAACACCAGUGGCGAAGGCGGCUCACUGGCUCGAUACUGACGCUGAGGGUGCGAAAAAGCGUGGGGGGAGCAAAACAGG